rnacentral:lncRNA from 1 species
UGACCGAGUACACAGCUGAAUUCUUGCGUUUCUCUGAACGCAAUGAGUUAGGCGAAACAGAGAAUCAGAAGGUGGCUAGGUACAUCAGUGGGUUAAAGGGUUCUCUUCAGGGAAAGAUGGGUUUGCAAACCGUAUGGACCGUGCAGGAAGCUUCCAGUCUAGCAUUAAAAGCUGAGUUAAUGGAGAAGUCAUCACGCGGGUUCUCAACAUUUAGAAGAAACACGGCUCAGACCAAUUUUGAACCAACAAGUGAGAAAGAAAAGAGUGUAGCCAAUAAAGACUCCAAUCCGGGAAACAAAGGAGCUAGUAGCUCUAAUUCAACCCAACAGAACAAGGCACCAGCUCAGAGACAAAACAAUCCUUAUGCUAAGCCUUCCAUUGACAAGUGUUUCCGUUGCCAAGGACAUGGUCAUAAAUCAAAUGUCUGUCCAAGUCGGAGAACAGUUGCUAUAAUAGAGGAAGAAGAUGAAGAGGAUGAAAGGGAUUUCGCUGAGAAUGAAGAAUAUGAGGGAGCUGAAUUCGCUGAAGAAGAAUCUGGAGAGAUGAUAAACCUUGUGCUGCAACGAGUCUUGUUAUCAUCUAAAGAAGAAGGCCAACGUAAGAAUUUGUUUAGAACACAUUGUUCUAUUCAAAACAAGGUGUGUAAUGUGAUUGUGGAUAAUGGAAGCUCAGAGAAUUUAGUUUCUCAAAAGCUGGUGGACUAUCUGAAGCUACCCACAACCCGUCAUGAGAAACCGUACGGUCUUGGUUGGGUGAAGAGAGGAUCACAAGUUCGAGUUAGCAUGACUUGCAAAGUUCUCAUAUCUAUAGGUAAACAUUAUAAGGAGGAGAUCACUUGUGACGUUCUUGACAUGGAUGUUUGUCACAUUCUUCUUGGACGACCUUGGCAGUAUGAUAACGAUAUCACAUAUCGAGGUCGAGACAAUGUGAUAAUGUUUACGUGGGGCAACCAUAAAAUUGCCAUGGCACCUGUUAAGGAUUUUUGUAACACUACGAAGGAAAAGAAGUCAAGUUUCUUGGUUAUGACACAUGACGACAAAGAGCUUGAUGGGGAUGUUCAAGAAGCAAAGUGUUUCUAUCCCUUGGUUGUUAAAGGGUUGUUGAGUGCAGCAACGGAGGAAACGUCAACCCCACGAGAAGUGUUAGAAAUUCUGGAUGAUUUCAAAGAGUUGAUUGCGGAAGAACUUCCUAAUGAUCUACCUCCCAUGAGAGAUAUUCAGCAUCAUAUUGACUUGAUUCCAGGAUCCAGUCUGCCAAAUCUUCCCCAUUACCGUAUGAGCCCUAAGGAGAAUGAGAUUUUAAGGGAACAGAUUGAAGAUUUGCUGAGAAAAGGAUUUAUUCGUGAGAGCAUGAGUCCAUGUGCCGUACCGGUUCUGCUAGUUCCUAAGAAAGGUAACCAGUGGCGGAUGUGUGUUGAUAGUAGAGCCAUUAAUAAGAUAACCAUUAAAUAUCGAUUCCCUAUACCCCGGUUGGAAGAUAUUCUUGAUGAGUUGUCAGGUUCUAAGGUGUUUUCAAAGAUAUGUUUAAGGGAGGCAACCACAAACCUCACUGCUGUAACUGCUCAAUUGGCAAAUCUGGUAACUGCGUUAAAUAAUCAGGUUGUGGCUUAUCCCAAUCAGGUUAAUAACGCCGGUCAAAGAGGUGGAGAAAGAAGACCAAUUCGGGGUCAACAAGGUCGAAACAAUCGUGAUGUUGUUGUUGAUAAUUCUAGUUCAGAAGAAGAAUCAGAAGAAGAAAUAGCUGAAGGAAACCAACAAAACAAUUAUGAUUAUCGGGUAAAAGCCGAUAUUCCAUUGUUCUAUGGAACUAUGGGAGUGGAGGAGUUUCUUGAUUGGCAAAUUGAUGUUGAUCGAUUUUUUGAUGUCAUGGGCGUUCCUGAGAAUAAACAAGUUAAGAUGGUAGCUGUCAAACUGAAGAAGACUGCUGCAGUGUGGUGGGAUAAACUCGUUGUCCAAAGGCAAAGACAAAGGAGAGGACCAGUUAGGACUUGGCGUCGAAUGAAGCAAUUAAUGCUGGAGCGAUUCUUACCGGAAGAUUACGAACAAAUUCUUUACAAGAUGUAUCUCGAUUGUGUUCAAGGAAACAGAAGUGUGACCGAGUACACAGCUGAAUUCUUGCGUUUCUCUGAACGCAAUGAGUUAGGCGAAACAGAGAAUCAGAAGGUGGCUAGGUACAUCAGUGGGUUAAAGGGUUCUCUUCAGGGAAAGAUGGGUUUGCAAACCGUAUGGACCGUGCAGGAAGCUUCCAGUCUAGCAUUAAAAGCUGAGUUAAUGGAGAAGUCAUCACGCGGGUUCUCAACAUUUAGAAGAAACACGGCUCAGACCAAUUUUGAACCAACAAGUGAGAAAGAAAAGAGUGUAGCCAAUAAAGACUCCAAUCCGGGAAACAAAGGAGCUAGUAGCUCUAAUUCAACCCAACAGAACAAGGCACCAGCUCAGAGACAAAACAAUCCUUAUGCUAAGCCUUCCAUUGACAAGUGUUUCCGUUGCCAAGGACAUGGUCAUAAAUCAAAUGUCUGUCCAAGUCGGAGAACAGUUGCUAUAAUAGAGGAAGAAGAUGAAGAGGAUGAAAGGGAUUUCGCUGAGAAUGAAGAAUAUGAGGGAGCUGAAUUCGCUGAAGAAGAAUCUGGAGAGAUGAUAAACCUUGUGCUGCAACGAGUCUUGUUAUCAUCUAAAGAAGAAGGCCAACGUAAGAAUUUGUUUAGAACACAUUGUUCUAUUCAAAACAAGGUGUGUAAUGUGAUUGUGGAUAAUGGAAGCUCAGAGAAUUUAGUUUCUCAAAAGCUGGUGGACUAUCUGAAGCUACCCACAACCCGUCAUGAGAAACCGUACGGUCUUGGUUGGGUGAAGAGAGGAUCACAAGUUCGAGUUAGCAUGACUUGCAAAGUUCUCAUAUCUAUAGGUAAACAUUAUAAGGAGGAGAUCACUUGUGACGUUCUUGACAUGGAUGUUUGUCACAUUCUUCUUGGACGACCUUGGCAGUAUGAUAACGAUAUCACAUAUCGAGGUCGAGACAAUGUGAUAAUGUUUACGUGGGGCAACCAUAAAAUUGCCAUGGCACCUGUUAAGGAUUUUUGUAACACU